GGGCUCACUUCAGCCGCACACAUACUAAGAUUGGAACGAAACACGGAAGAUUAGCAUGGUCCCUGCACAAGGAUGACACGUAAAUUCGUGAAGCAGUCCAUAUUUUU
rnacentral:snRNA from 1 species